UACGUAGGGUCCGAGCGUUGUCCGGAAUUACUGGGCGUAAAGAGCUCGUAGGUGGUUUGUCGCGUUGUUCGUGAAAACUCACAGCUUAACUGUGGGCGUGCGGGCGAUACGGGCAGACUUGAGUACUGCAGGGGAGACUGGAAUUCCUGGUGUAGCGGUGGAAUGCGCAGAUAUCAGGAGGAACACCGGUGGCGAAGGCGGGUCUCUGGGCUGACACUGACGCUGAGGCGCGAAAGCUAGGGGAGCGAACGGG
rnacentral:rRNA from 1 species